CAGAUCUCUUGUUCAACUUUAAAGGUAAUACAUAUUUCUUGCUUACAGUAAAGAAAUGAUUUUUUUAAAGUGAAUUUGUUUGGGUUCUAGGUAUUUUUCUGAUUGUUGUUGUGCAGAAAUUGUUUAUAUUGGGUAAAUUAUUAGUCCAUCAUUCUCCGCACUGCGACAGCUUGUGAACUCUGUUGCUUAACCAAAAGUCCUAAAUUGAGGGAAAUGCUAACGAUACUCUUUUCUCCUGAGAAGAAAGCCGCGUAUUGAUGAAGAUACAAAGGAGAAUGGGAAAUGUGAUUUUCCCAAUUGAAGCACAUUUACAGAAGUG
rnacentral:lncRNA from 1 species